GAAAAAACAAAUUCAGGAUUAGCUUUAGAUUUUAGGUUUCUGUGAAAGCUAUACUUGUUGAAUCACGGUCAAGUGUGUCAUGCAUGAUGAAAUGUCUUAGCGUGAACGGAGCUUUGAAGCCUAUGCUCGAUAGACUAAAUAAAAAUGGGUGUUAAUUUAUUAUAUUCUUUGUAACUGUUAUUUGAGUAUUCAAAGGAGGUAUUGCUGAAGCGU
rnacentral:misc_RNA from 1 species